rnacentral:rRNA from 1 species
GAUGAACGCUGGCGGCGUGCUUAACACAUGCAAGUCGAACGAGAAGUGAAGACGGAAACCUUCGGGCGGAAGGCUUUAUUUCGAGUGGCGGACGGGUGAGUAACGCGUGGGUAACCUGCCUCAUACAGGGGGAUAACAGUUGGAAACGACUGUUAAUACCGCAUAAGACCACAGCACCGCAUGGUGCGGGGGUAAAAACUCCGGUGGUAUGAGAUGGACCCGCGUUCGAUUAGCCAGUUGGCGGGGUAACGGCCCACCAAAGCGACGAUCGAUAGCCGAUCUGAGAGGAGGACCGGCCACAUUGGGACUGAGACACGGCCCAAACUCCUACGGGAGGCAGCAGUGGGGAAUAUUGCACAAUGGGGGAAACCCUGAUGCAGCGACGCCGCGUGAGUGAAGAAGUAUUUCGGUAUGUAAAGCUCUAUCAGCAGGGAAGAAAAUGACGGUACCUGAGUAAGAAGCCCCGGCUAACUACGUG